AACAUCACUAGAUAAAUUUAUCGAACUUAUUUAACAUAUUAAGAAUGUAAUUAGUUCCUAUUCGAUAAAUUCAAUCAUAAGAAAAGAAGGCUAUAGAUUAGGUGGUCAGUCCACUAGGCUGUUCGGGCAUUAGGGUAGUUCAAGACUUUCUAGUUGAGGGUCAAAUCUAAGCAAUCCAAUCAAAAAAUCAUAAAAGUUAGAUUGGAUCAAGAUCAAGAUCGAUCAAUAGGGUUUAUCUAUAAUAGAUUUUCAAAGAUAUUCAACAU
rnacentral:lncRNA from 1 species